ACGAACGCUGGCGGCGUGCUUCACACCUGCAGGUCGAACGGAAAGGCCCUGCUUGCCGGGUACUCGAGUGGCGAACGGGUGAGUAACACGUGGGUGAUCUGCCCUGCACUUCGGGAUAAGCCUGGGAAACUGGGUCUAAUACCGGAUAGGAGCCAUUUUUAGUGUGAUGGUUGGAAAGUUUUUUCGGUGUAGGAUGAGCUCGCGGCCUAUCAGCUUGUUGGUGGGGUAAUGGCCUACCAAGGCGGCGACGGGUAGCCGGCCUGAGAGGGUGGACGGCCACAUUGGGACUGAGAUACGGCCCAGACUCCUACGGGAGGCAGCAGUGGGGAAUAUUGCACAAUGGGCGCAAGCCUGAUGCAGCGACGCCGCGUGGGGGAUGACGGCCUUCGGGUUGUAAACUCCUUUCGCUAGGGACGAAGCUUUUUGUGACGGUACCUAGAUAAGAAGCACCGGCUAACUACGUG
rnacentral:rRNA from 1 species